GGCCCAGAUCGUUUACCGUGAAAAAAUUAGAGUGUUCAAAGCAGGCAGAUCCAAUUUUCUGCCACCGAAUACAUUAGCAUGGGAUAAUGGAAUAGGACCCUGUCCUCCUAUUUUCAGUUGGUUUUGGCAGCGCGAGGACUAGGGUAAUGAUUAAUAGGGAUAGUUGGGGGCAUUAAUAUUUAAUUGUCAGAGGUGAAAUUCUUGGAUUUAUGAAAGAUUAACUUCUGCGAAAGCAUCUGCCAAGGAUGUUUUCAUUAAUCAAGAACGAAAGUUAGGGGAUCGAAGACGAUCAGAUACCGUCGUAGUCUUAACCAUAAACGAUGCCGACCAGCGAUUAGGAGACGUUGAAUACAAAACACCACCAUCGGCGCGGUCGUCCUUGGCGUGUCUCGGCUUCACGGCCGGGGCGCGCGAGGGCGGUUUAGCCCGGUGGCACCGGWGAAUGACUCCCCUAGCAGCUUGUGAGA
rnacentral:rRNA from 1 species